GACGAACGCUGGCGGCGUGCCUAACACAUGCAAGUCGAGCGAGUUGAUUCUCUUCGGAGAUGAAGCUAGCGGCGGACGGGUGAGUAACACGUGGGCAACCUGCCUCAUAGAGGGGAAUAGCCUCCCGAAAGGGAGAUUAAUACCGCAUAAGAUUGUAGCUUCGCAUGAAGUAGCAAUUAAAGGAGUAAUCCGCUAUGAGAUGGGCCCGCGGCGCAUUAGCUAGUUGGUGAGGUAACGGCUCAACAAGGCGACGAUGCGUAGCCGACCUGAGAGGGUGAUCGGCCACAUUGGGACUGAGACACGGCCCAGACUCCUACGGGAGGCAGCAGUGGGGAAUAUUGCACAAUGGGGGAAACCCUGAUGCAGCAACGCCGCGUGAGUGAUGACGGCCUUCGGGUUGUAAAGCUCUGUCUUCAGGGACGAUAAUGACGGUACCUGAGGAGGAAGCCACGGCUAACUUCGUGCCAGCCGCCGCGGUAA
rnacentral:rRNA from 1 species